ensembl:lncRNA
AGAGAGGAAGAGGAAGGAAGAGGAGGUCAAAGAGAGAGAGGAAGAGGAAGGCAGAGGAGGUCAAAGAGAGAGAGAGAGAGAGGAAGAGGAGGUCAGAGAGAGAGAGGAAGAGGAGGUCAGAGAGAGAGAGAGAGAGGAAGAGGAGGUCAGAGAGAGAGAGAGAGGAAGAGGAGGUCAGAGAGAGAGAGAGAGGAAGAGGAGGUCAAAGAGAGAGAGAGAGAGAGAGAGAGGAAGAGAAAGGCAGAGGAGGUCAAAGAGAGAGAGAGAGGAAGAGAAAGGCAGGAGGUCAAAGAGAGAGGGAGGAAGAGGAGGUCAAAGAGAGAGAGGAAGAGGAAGGAAGAGGAGGUCAAAGAGAGAGAGAGAGAGGAAGAGAAAGGCAGAGGAGGUCAAAGAGAGAGAGAGAGAGAGAGAGGAAGAGAAAGGCAGAGGAGGUAAAAAGAGAGAGAGAGAGAGAGGAAGAGGAGGUCAAAGAGAGAGAGGAAGAGGAAGGAAGAGGAGGUCAAAGAGAGAGAGGAAGAGGAGGUCAAAGAGAGAGAGAGAGGAAGAGGAGGUCAAAGAGAGAGAGGAAGAGGAAGAGGAGGUCAAAGAGAGAGAGGAAGAGGAAGGAAGAGGAGGUCAAAGAGAGAGGAAGAGGAAGGAAGAGGAGGUCAAAGAGAGAGAGGAAGAGGAAGGCAGAGGAGGUC